UACGAAGGGUGCAAGCGUUACUCGGAAUUACUGGGCGUAAAGGGUGCGUAGGCGGUUCGUUAAGUCUGUCGUGAAAUCCCCGGGCUCAACCUGGGAAUGGCGAUGGAUACUGGCGAGCUAGAGUGUGUCAGAGGAUGGUGGAAUUCCCGGUGUAGCGGUGAAAUGCGUAGAGAUCGGGAGGAACACCAGUGGCGAAGGCGGCCUUCUGGACCAAUACUGACGCUCAUGCACGAAAGCGUGGGGAGCAAACAGG
rnacentral:rRNA from 1 species